rnacentral:rRNA from 1 species
UACGGAGGGUGCGAGAGUUGUCCGGAAUAACUGGGCGUAAAGGGCGCGUAGGCGGCCUGAUAAGUAGGGGGUGAAAUCCUGCGGCUUAACCGCAGGGCUGCCUUCUAAACUGUCAGGCUAGAGCACGGUAGAGGCAGAUGGAAUUCCCGGUGUAGCGGUGGAAUGCGUAGAGAUCGGGAAGAACAUCAGUGGCGAAGGCGGUCUGCUGGGCCGUUGCUGACGCUGAGGCGCGACAGCGUGGGGAGCAAACAGG